UGAGGGUAGCUCCAGAGCUUGAUUCUUCCA
rnacentral:piRNA from 1 species